AUUGAACGCUGGCGGCAUGCUUUACACAUGCAAGUCGAACGGUAACAGGUUAAGCUGACGAGUGGCGAACGGGUGAGUAAUGCAUCGGAACGUGCCCGGUCGUGGGGGAUAACGCAGCGAAAGCUGCGCGAAUACCGCAUACGAUCUGAGGAUGAAAGCGGGGGACAGUAAGGCCUCGCGCGAUCGAAGCGGCUGAUGUCAGAUUAGGUAGUUGGUGAGGUAAAGGCUCACAAAGCCAACGAUCUGUAGCUGGUCUGAGAGGACGACACAGCCACACUGGGACUGAGACACGGCCCAGACUCCUACGGGAGGCAUCAGUGGGGAAUUUUGGACAAUGGGCGAAAGCCUGAUCCAGCAAUGCCGCGUGCAGGAAGAAGGCCUUCGGGUUGUAAACUGCUUUUGUACGGAGCGAAAAGGUCUCCUCUAAUACAGGGGGCUCAUGACGGUACCGUAAGAAUAAGCACCGGCUAACUACGUGCCAGCAGCCGCCGUAA
rnacentral:rRNA from 1 species